rnacentral:lncRNA from 1 species
GGCUCACCUAGACAUAUUAGUCUACCAUUUUAUGAAACCCUAAGUAAAUCUGACAAGUGGUUUUUGAGAAAUGCUGCGGACAAGUUCAUUUUUAAAGUGGCGGAAGAAGAAGAAGAGGAAGAAUAAUAAAAAUAACUAGAUUUGUAAUUGCUAGCAAUAACGGAUGGCACCCUCGUCCCCCCAUUGCCAGGAUAAAGGCAGCCAUUUUGAAAUUUCCAAAGUCAAAGAGCAUAUCUACACAUGGAAAUUAUGAUUUUUGUAAAGUUUUAUUAAGUUUGGAGCAUUUUGAAAUUUUUGACAUUUUAGUCAUUUCCAUGGUUACGGCGGCC